GGAAGGAGGAGUGAAGAAACUUGACACCAGAGAACCAUCAACAUGCAUCCAUAAGUGAGGAAGGGCAGAUUGACGACCCUGAGGUGGAGGCUGGCACCCCUAAAGACAAGACAAUUGAUUAAAUUGAAACCAGGACAGGAUGACCCUCUCUGAGGUGUUUUGGAAUGUUAACAUCAAAAGAUAACGCCAAUUAAGGAGUAACCGGUCACAAACUGACACAGCAGAAUCCAUAGACUUCAACAGAGAAAAAAGACUAUAAGACCAGGGUGCUUGGCCAUGGGACUUUGGGUUCAUCUUGCCACAACUCCAGGAACGUCGGAUCACGACUGACCAGAGCUCGGCUCCCCUCUGUGACCAAUCUGGCUGGCCACUAGAUUGAUCCACACUCUGGACUGGUGGCUGCUGAUUUCCACCAGCGUGAAGCAAGAAUCAGGCCUUUAAUUUCGUAGAUAUUUUGAAAAUCUCCAGUGCAGCUCUGAGGAAAGAAUUGGCACCAAGUUUCUGCUGUGCCACACAGUUCUAUAAGCUUGUCCACUAAGAGCCAAGGAGUUUCUGGAAACAGCACCAUACUGCCUAGCAGGUCCAUCCCCUGGCCAUUGCUUGAACUGCUAGCAACACAAGCUGGGGUUCUAAAAACAGGACAUGUAGCUGCUUUGAUAGUGCCAAGAAUUCAAGACUUGCUUUUGCCCAUUUCUCCAAACUUGCUCUUUAAGGGCAGAUUUUCCUCAAAUGAACUUUAUGCACCAUUCACAAGGGCUUGCAUAGAAAUGUGCUAUUUCCAAAUAAACACAGUGCUUGAGCAGCUGCUGAAACACUUUUUCUUCUCUGUCUAUAAAUGACCCUCUCUCUGGGCUUGAUCCUGUAAGGUUCUCAGUGCCCUCAACUUCAAUUAACUUCACAAGAACA